UCAGUGCGUGGGGUCGAAGCUGCGUCGAACGUCCGUUCCGGGGGGCCGGGCGCCGGAAGUGGUGCCGCUAGGCCCCUGUGAGGACCAGCCCCCUACUGAGCUUCACUGCCAGAGCAUCAUCCUUGACCUGGUGCUGGAGAGGGGAUAGACAGCAGAGAAGGUCAAUAUCCACUGAGGAAUGACAUUCUUGUGUGGAGUUGCCAUAUUACAUCAGUUGGAAUGUCUUGCUGAGAGGAAACACCACAGCUGGUUUUACUCUCCAUGUCUCCAAC